AUGUUCUCUGUAGCUGUGCUGCUGCUGCUGGCUGCUGGAUCCUGUGUAAAGUGUGAAACGCUGACUCAGCCAGCCUCUGUGACUGUGCAGCCAGGUCAACGUCUGACCAUCACCUGUCAGGUCUCUUAUUCUCUUAGCAGCUACUACACAGCUUGGAUCAGACAGCCUGCAGGGAAAGGACUGGAGUGGAUUGGAGUCACCGUGUUGGAUACACUGCAGAUUACAAAGAUUCACUAAAGAACAAGUUCAGUAUCAGCCUCGACUCUUCCAGCAAAACUGUGACUCUAAACGGACAGAAUGUGCAGCCUGAGGACACUGCUGUGUAUUACUGUGCCAGAUACCCACAUGAUGCUUUCGACUACUGGGGCAAAGGGACUGCAGUCACAGUAUCUUCAACUGCAACAGCUGCACCGCCAGCUCUGUUCCCUUUGGUUCAGUGCACGCUUGAGUCUGCAGAUAUGGUCACUGUUGGUUGUCUUGCACAGGACUUCUACCCUGAGAGUCUUACUUUUAAGUGGACCAGUGACCUGACACCUGUAGACUAUCCUCCAGUUAGGAAAAGCAACAAUUACACAGCUGUCAGUUUGCUCAAAGUACCAAAAUCUGACUGGGAAUCAGGGAAGUCUUUCGAUUGUUCUGUGACUCUCAAUGGCAUUGCCAAAAAUGUGACACUGGAAAAAGAAGCCAUCUUUACUCCAAAGGUAACUUUAGUAGCAGUGCCAGCAGGAGACACUCAGGCCCUGGUGUGUUUAAUUGAGGAUUUUCGUCCUAAAAAAUUGUCAGUCAAAUGGAAAAAGAAUCAAAGCGAUCUAACUGAUUGGACUGAAUUGCACCCACAAAUAUCUGGAAAAUUUUAUUCAGAUGUCAGUUUCCAGAAGGUCAGCCAAGCAGACUGGGACAGUAAAGCGGUUUACGCAUGUGAGGUGAAUCACCAAAGAGAAACGAUUACGAAGACGGCCUCCAAAGCUCAUAUCACAGUGACACUGAACCAACCAAGUCCCAAAGUAAUUUUCAGCAACAACCAGGCAACAUGGGAGUGUGUCGUUGCUGGACAGGACAAGAAGAUUGUAGAUGAAGUCCAGAUCACAUGGCAAAUUGAUGAAGUAACUGUGGCAGGAAGCGAUGGAACAUCAGAGCGAGAUGGAAGUCAGUUUCGCAAAAUCAGCACACUGACGCGCAAUCGCACUGAAAUUCAAAGUAUCAACCGAGUGCGCUGUUCUGCCGCUAAAGACGAUAUGACACCAGUUAUUCAAGCUCUGACCGUCCACAAAGGAGAUGGGAGGGACCCAAAAAUAACCGUCCACCUGCUCCCAGAGGAGGACACCAAAGAUAACAAAGACGUCACCCUGGUGUGUCUGGUCUCAAGCUCUGUACUGCAGGAUUACUACAUCGCCUGGGCAGAACAUAAAGGACAAAAUCCCAUUGUCUAUACUGAUGGCAUUACCUUCCCCCCACAAAAGAACCAUGGCAACUACACAGUUGCAAGUAUUUACACCACCACUGAGAAGAAGUGGAACGACUACAACAUGUUUUCCUGCAACGUCUGGCCUGCUGGUAGAAAUAAGUCUAUGAGAUCCCGAGAGGUGUCUAAGGGCCAGAAUAACAUAUCUCCAGAUUCAAAUCUGAGUUUUGUUCUGAGCUGCAUAGAUGAUGCCAUUGAAGAGGAUGAGUACAGCAGCCUUUGGUCCACAGCUUCUUCCUUCAUAUUUCUCUUCAUAUCCUCUCUCCUAUAUAACCUGAUAUUCAGCCUGGUCAAGAUGAAGAGCCCAUAAAAGAAUGAAGUAGAUGUACAACAUGGACACCAGCAGGUCUUCUUUUAUUAAAAUCUACUUUUAAAAACAUCAUCACUUAUCUACUUUGCUUGGUUUAAUGUUUGUUUAAGCUUGUCCUGUAUACAAAU